GGGUUGAAGCAUGACCGUAAGGACAUGUGGACAGUAUGGGAGUGAGAAUGUUGGCAUGAGUAGCGAGAUGUGGGUGAGAAUCCCACAGGCCGUAAACCCAAGGUUUCCAGGGGAAGGUUCGUCCGCCCUGGGUUAGUCGGGACCUAAGCUGAGGCCGAAAGGCGUAGGUGAUGGACAACAGGUUGAUAUUCCUGUACUACCGAUAACCGUUUGAGAGAAGGGAUGACACAGUAGGAUAAGCUAAGCACACUGUUGGUUAUGUGUGCCCAAGCAUUGAGGCAGUCAAAGUAGGCAAAUCCGCUUUGAUAAUGCUGGGAUGUGAUGGGGAGCGAAAUUUAGUAGCGAAGUAGCUGAUUUCACACUGUCAAGAAAAGUCUCUAUCGAGGUUAAAGGUACCCGUACCGCAAACCGACACAGGUGGGUGAGGAGAGUAUCCUAAGGCCAGCGAGAGAACUGUUGUUAAGGAACUCGGCAAAAUGACCCCGUAACUUAGGGAUAAGGGGUGCCACCAUCAGGUGGCCGCAGAGAAUAGGCCCAAGCGACUGUUUACCAAAAACAUAGGUUUCUGCUAAGUCGCAAGACGAUGUAUAGGAGCUGACGCCUGCCCGGUGCUGGAAGGUUAAGGGGAUCUGUUAGAGCAAUCGAAGCAGUGAACUUAAGCCCCAGUAAACGGCGGCCGUAACUAUAACGGUCCUAAGGUAGCGAAAUUCCUUGUCGGGUAAGUUCCGACCCGCACGAAAGGCGUAACGAUUUGGGCACUGUCUCAACAACAGACUCGGUGAAAUUGUAAUUCCGGUGAAGAUGCCGGAUACCUGCGACAGGACGGAAAGACCCCAUGGAGCUUUACUGUAGCUUGACAUUGGGUCUUGGUACUACAUGUACAGGAUAGGUGGGAGGCUUUGAAACCAGGACGCCAGUUUUGGCGGAGCCAUCCUUGGGAUACCACCCUUGUAGUACUGGGACUCUAACCAUAGGCCAUGAAUCUGGUCUUGGGACACUGUCAGGUGGGCAGUUUGACUGGGGCGGUCGCCUCCCAAAAGGUAACGGAGGCGCUCAAAGGUUCUCUCAGUACGGUCGGAAAUCGUACGUAGAGUGUAAAGGCAAAAGAGAGCUUGAUUGCAAGACAUACAGGUCGAGCAAGGAUGAAAAUCGGACUUAGUGAUCCGGUGGUUCUGCGUGGAAGGGCCAUCGCUCAACGGAUAAAAGCUACCCUGGGGAUAACAGGCUUAUCUCCCCCAAGAGUCCACAUCGACGGGGAGGUUUGGCACCUCGAUGUCGGCUCAUCACAUCCUGGGGCUGUAGUAGGUCCCAAGGGUUGGGCUGUUCGCCCAUUAAAGUGGUACGCGAGCUGGGUUCAGAACGUCGUGAGACAGUUCGGUCCCUAUCCGUCGCAGGCGUAGGAAAUUUGAGAAGACCUGUCCUUAGUACGAGAGGACCGGGAUGGACGUACCUCUGGUGUACCAGUUGUCCUGCCAAGGGCAUGGCUGGGUAGCUAUGUACGGAAUGGAUAAGCGCUGAAAGCAUCUAAGCGCGAAGCCAACUUCAAGAUAAGAUUUCCCACCG
rnacentral:rRNA from 1 species